CCUACGGGAGGCAGCAGUGAGGAAUAUUGGUCAAUGGGCGCGAGCCUGAUCCAGUCAAGUAGCGCGAAGGAUGACUGCCCUACGGGUUGUAAACUUCUUCUAUAAAGGAAUAAAGUGAGGCACGUGUGCCUUUUUGCAUGUACUUUAUGAAUAAGAAUAGGCUAACUCCGCGCCAGCAGCCGCGGUACUACGGAGGAGCCGAGCGUUAUCCGGAUUUAUUGGGUUUAAAGGGAGCGUAGAUGGGUUGUUAAGUUAGUUGUGAAAGUUUGCGGAUCAACCUGAGAAUUGCAAUUGAUACUGGCAGCCUUGAGUACAGUUGAGGUAGGCAGAAUUCGUGGUGUAGCGGUGAAAUGCGUAGAGAUCACGAAGAACUCCGAUUGCGAAGGCAGCUUACUAAACUGCGACUGACGUUGAUGCGCGAAAGUGUGGGGAGCAAACAGGAUUAGAUACCCGUGUAGUC
rnacentral:rRNA from 1 species